AUAUGAAUCAGCGGGAUCAAAUAGUUCUUGAAGAGACUCUCAAAGACAACAUGAACUACAGAUAAUCAAAACACAGAAAAAGAAAAAGAAAAAGAAAAAGGACAGUUAAUUCAAACUGCUGGACAUCUAUUGACCCAGCACUAAAAACCAGCAGUGGUUUUAUGACCUGCUCAUUUAUGAUAAGCAACUAGAUCAACACUCUAAAUUAACGUUUCCAAGAAGAGAUAAGUACAGAACAUCUCUCACUGUGCAAAGAACAACAGUGCGCGCUGAGUGGAGAGGAGACGAGCAGAAUGAAGCCGUGACAUGUUAUCAAUACUGAGGCAUUAGAG